rnacentral:rRNA from 1 species
UAUCAAUAAGCGGAGGAAAAGAAACCAACAGGGAUUGCCCCAGUAACGGCGAGUGAAGCGGCAACAGCUCAAAUUUGAAAUCUGGCUUUAGUAAAAGUCCGAGUUGUAAUUUGCAGAGGAUGCUUUUGGCGUGGCACUAACUAAGUUCCCUGGAAUGGGACGCCAUAGAGGGUAAGAGCCCCGUCUAGUUAGGCGCUAUAGCCUUUGUAAAGCUCCUUCGACGAGUCGAGUAGUUUGGGAAUGCUGCUCAAAGCGGGAGGUAUAUGUCUUCUAAAGCUAAAUAUCAGCUAGAGACCGAUAGCGCACAAGUAGAGUGAUCGAAAGAUGAAAAGCACUUUGAAAAGAGGGUUAAACAGUACGUGAAAUUGCUAAAAGGGAAGCACUUGCAACUAGACGUAGCGCGUGCCAAUCACCUGGCAUUUGUGUCAGGGCACUUGGGGCGAUGCUAGGCCAGCAUCGGUUUGCUGUGGGGGAUAAAGACAUCUGGAACGUAGCCCUUUGGGUGUUAUAGCCAGGUGUGCAAUGCCCUGCGGCAGACCGAGGACCUUGCGCAUCUGCAAAGAUGCUGGCGUAAUAGUUGCUAGUGACCCGUCUUGAAACACGGACCAAGGAGUCGUCCUCGUAUGCGAGUGUUUGGGUGUUAAACCCGGGCGCGGAAUGAAAGUAAACGCAGGUAAGAGCCUCGGCGCAUUACCGACCGAUCUUGAUGUUCUCGGAUGGAUUUGAGUAUGAGCAUACGGGGCCGGACCCGAAAGAAGGUGAACUAUGCCUGCGUAGGGUGAAGCCAGAGGAAACUCUGGUGGAGGCUCGCAGCGGUUCUGACGUGCAAAUCGAUCGUCAAACGUGGGCAUGGGGGCGAAAGACUAAUCGAACCUUCUAGUAGCUGGUUUC